CAGUGCAUAGUGGCGAGGUUGGUUUCGCCACACUGUCCCAUAGUGUUUUUCCUUCUCCCCCCCGUGGCGAAACUAACCUCGCCACUGGGUUAUGGAGAAGCCUGGUUGCCAGCCUCCUGCCUCAUGACUAUGGCCCCUCUCAUCAGCCCAUGCUAGACUUAACCCCAUGGUGGUUUUGUUCUGUUUGUGGGAUCUGAGCGCUGUUCGGAUAUAUUGAGCGCUCAGAUCCAAGCUAUCUGGGGAUAGGUUGAAUGUGGGGGCUCUGUUCAGUGUAAUGGGAAUUAUGUAUUUUUGUGUAUUUUUACUGUUGUUGUGAAUAGAGCUAUUGUCUGUAUGCUGGAGAUAAUUGGCUUACCACACCCAAGCCAUGCUUGCAGGCGGUCACAAAUUGACUUACAACUAACUUUUGACCCACUGGACCAAUUUGUAUGAUUUUGAUGUAUGUUUGUAUUUGGAGUAUGCUGAUUCUGAAAAUGUUUUAUGUAAAUGUGAUAUUUACUUUUAAAGUUAUGAACAUUGUGUAAAACUGUGUAUUUUCCUACCUGUGAUAAUUACGUUAGCCCAUUGUGUUCAGUAAUUAUAUCGCAGAGGGGAGGAUUCUGCUGGAAUGAAUGAGAGUGUUUUACUGUGUAUUACGUGUUUAUUGGUUGUUUCACAAAACCCUGCGGGUGGUACUAAUGUUUAAGAAUGUGUAUAUAAGAACAAUAAAC